rnacentral:rRNA from 1 species
AUUGAACGCUAGCGGGAUGCUUUACACAUGCAAGUCGAACGAGUGGCGUACGGGUACGUAAUGUAUGGGGCCUGCACCUUCGUGGGGGAUAACUACUGGAAUUGGUGGCUAAUACCGCAUACUGUCGGAUCACACAUAUGGGAUUAGCUAGUAGUUAGGGUAAUGGCUUUCCUAGGCGACGAUACCUAGCUGGUCUGGGAGGAUGAUGAGCCACACUGGAACUGAGACACGGCCCAGACGCCUACGGAGGCAGCAGUGGGGAAUAUUGCACAAUGGGCGCAAGCCUGAUGCAGCCAUGCCGCGUGUAUGAAGAAGGCCUUAGGGUUGUAAAGUACUUUCAGUGGGGAGGCGUUACCGGCAGAAGAAGCACCGGCUAACUCCGUGCCAGCAGCCGCGGUAAUAG